CAUACCACCCUGAAUGUGGCAGAUCUCGUCUGAUCUCGGAAGUUAAGCAAGGUCGGGCCUGGUUAGUACUUGGAUGGGAGAUAACACAUCAAUUUUGUUAUAACAAAUGU
rnacentral:rRNA from 1 species